UGUUUUCCCAAGGCAUAUGCGGGUCUAUGACCUCCAGCUAGGUGAUAGCCCUUGUACAAGAAAAUAACAAAGAUAGUUUAAAGUAAUCAAUAAAAUGGGAGACGUGACCGGGGACACAGGAGGCGGACUUCAUCGUAACACAAGCCUCUAGUACAUGAAGAAAUGCUUUCAAUGCAUGAAUGAAUACAUGAAUAAUUACCUCAACAUCUAGUCCAAACUGAAUGGCAAAGCUCUCAGCUUCAGCAAAUCUGUGUUUGUGAAGUAACCGACUCAAUCUGAAAAAUUGAAAAGAAAUUUCAGUAAAAUUUUUAUUAAUCAGAGAAGUCAAGUCUUUCAUUAAGCAAACAAAGGAUGCUGCGGCCACAUCCAGCCAUGAGGGAACUCAGGAUGGAGAUGAACAGGCUGCCCACUGGCCAGCCCUCAGUCACGGCAGCUACUCCCACGUGUACACCGAGGGGACUCUGGAUGGGGAAGCGCCUGAUACUGGCCCUGGGUGGUAAAGGUGCACAUAUCAAGGAAUGAUUUCAGUGAGCCCACUCUUGCAUCUUCCCAUACAUAGAAAACACUAAAUUCAAUUCAUUAACCUGAGAUACCUGAUUUUCUUCAGUUAACAGUACUCUUUUGAUGUUCUAACUAUAUGGUCUGUCUUGCAAAACUCCUAUAUAUCCCAGCUCCUCUCUUACUUCUUCAGAGCAGUCCCUCAGAGCUAUCUUGAGAGACUGCUCCCUGGGCUUAAAGUUCUCAGAAAGUCCACCCAAUAAAACGUAAUUCUCAACUUUCGGGUUAUGCAUUUUUUUCAGUUUCUAAGCUAUGAUUCUUAAAUUCAACGUUAAGAAGCAUUAUGCUUGUAAUUUAAAACACAAAUCAAGCAAAGCUUUGCUAGAGUUUUUAGCUAAGAGAUAGUUUAGAAUUUAGAUAAUGAAGAUGAAAAACAUAACAAGGUAACAAGCUCUUACAUUGGUGAGUAACGUUAACUUUGACGUUACAUGAAUAAGAUGUAGGUUGCCACUUCUCUCCCCAACCAAAAGAAACUUUCCUUCUUGACACAGGCCAACUACGUCCACUUCAGUAUCUGAAAAUUUCAAAUCAAAGUUAUGCCAAGCUUCCUCCAAAAAUGCUUAUUUUCAAUACAAAGAAUUGCAAAUUUUGUUAUUAAAAGUCAACGAUUUAAGAAGCUUCUUUUAAAUAUUUCAGGAAAGUACUAAUUAAUGGCAAAAGGAAUGCUACUGACUCUUAGUCAAUAAAUAUUUGCUGAGCACUGAUAGGCUAAGCAUUGUUCAAGGCCUUUUGUAUACAUCUGAGAAUAUUACCAAGAGUCCCAUCUUCAUGGAACUCAAAUGCUAAGGCAGAAAUAGAUGAUAAACAGUCAGCAAAACAAUCUAAUUAUAUGACACAAACAAAGGUGAUACAGAGGAGGGAAACAGAGCUCGGAAGAGCCAUGUGGUAUUAAUUGGUGUGCUCAGGACAGCUCCCUUUGUCAGAUCUAAACAAAAAUUUGAAGGAGGUGAGAAAGUCAUUGUUUGCACAAAAGCAAGAAGGCCAGGGGGAAGUGAAGACUGCA